AGGGUUGUAGCUCAGUGGUGUGGAGCAUUUGCUCUCCAUGCAGAAGGUCGCAGGUUCAGUCCUUGGUAUCUCCA